UACGAAGGGGGCUAGCGUUGCUCGGAAUCACUGGGCGUAAAGGGUGCGUAGGCGGGUCUUUAAGUCAGGGGUGAAAUCCUGGAGCUCAACUCCAGAACUGCCUUUGAUACUGAAGAUCUUGAGUUCGGGAGAGGUGAGUGGAACUGCGAGUGUAGAGGUGAAAAUUCGUAGAUAUUCGCAAGAACACCCGUGGCGAAGGCGGCUACUCUGGUACGUGACUGACGCUGAGACGCGAAAGCGUGGGGAGCGAACAGG
rnacentral:rRNA from 1 species